AACGAACGCUGGCGGCAGGCCUAACACAUGCAAGUCGAGCGCGCCCUUCGGGGUGAGCGGCGGACGGGUGAGUAACGCGUGGGAACGUGCCCUUUUCUACGGAAUAGCCUCGGGAAACUAAGAGUAAUACCGUAUACGCCCUUUGGGGGAAAGAUUUAUCGGAAAAGGAUCGGUCCGCGUUGGAUUAGGUAGUUGGUGGGGUAAUGGCCUACCAAGCCGACGAUCCAUAGCUGGUUUGAGAGGAUGAUCAGCCACACUGGGACUGAGACACGGCCCAGACUCCUACGGGAGGCAGCAGUGGGGAAUCUUAGACAAUGGGGGCAACCCUGAUCUAGCCAUGCCGCGUGAGUGAUGAAGGCCUUAGGGUUGUAAAGCUCUUUCAGCUGGGAAGAUAAUGACGGUACCAGCAGAAGAAGCCCCGGCUAACUCCGUG
rnacentral:rRNA from 1 species